rnacentral:lncRNA from 1 species
AGAGUGCCAGUCUCCAUUGCAAACAGUGGCCCUUGAAAGAGCAAGCUUCAAGGAAGGACAGGCAGGGGGGGCAUCCUGAAGCCUGUCAGAACCGUGGGCCUUAUCCAAAGGGAAAAAGUAGCUGUCACUUGUUAGAGCAGAGUCCUCGGCACAGUGUGUCCGUCCUGUUUGGAAGUGUUCCCAAAAGGACUCGUGAGCUCUGUGCCAUCAAGUACUUCCCUUCAUCAAGCUGAGGAGGCCACAGCCUCCGAGAGGAACUGGUGAGUGCUUAUGGAGCAAAGAGCAUGUAGAACCUUCUAGUCUCUGACCACGUGGUAAGAUGGAGCAUCUGUCUCAGCAAGCUUUGCUCUCUCUUUUCUCUCUGGCCUAUUCUGGUCCCCUUUCUGCAAGAGUUUGAUUUUCCCUCUCUUUUCUCUACAUGUCUGCAGGUGUGUCAGUACAUGGAUGGAUAGACAAACACACACGCUCAUGCACACAUACUUAGGCACAUACACACUUAGAUACACACUUAUACACACACACACACAUGCUCAUGCACACAUACUUAGGCACAUACACACUCAGACACAUGCACACACUCACUCACAUACACUCAGACACACACUCACACACACACAUGCUCAUGCAUACAUUCUCAGGCACACACUCAGACACACACACACUCAGACACACACAUUCAGAUACACUCAGACACACAAACACACUCAGGCACACACACACUCACACACACACUGAGACAUGCAUGUCCCAUGUGGGGAUAGGUUGCACUUCCUCUUUCAGCUGUGGCUUCUGGGCAGCUGCUCUACUCUGUCAUUUCUGCCUUAUGAAGCUUUGUCCCUAUUCAAGUAACAGAAAGCAGAAAGUGGCCCGGGAAACUCGACCUUCAAGCACACAGAACAAAAGAGAGAGCCACUGUCUUCCUGGAAAUGGUGCAUCAAAACUAUUUGCUGGGAUUGGCUUAAAGCUGGCUUGAUGGCUAUGGUCUAUUUUUGGAUGGGUCAAGCUGGUAUAAAAAGGAUGUGUGAACGUGAAGAUGAAGAAAUGCACUUUCUAUGGACAGAACUAAGACUCACCUGAAUGAGUCUAGGAAAGAAACUUAACUCAGUUACAAAAUGCUGGAUAAAGCCAAGAGACUUAAUAAAGUACUUUCUUGUCAAAAAAAAAAAAAAGAAAAGAGAAAAGAAAGGAAGGAAGGAAGGAAGGAAGAAAGAAAGAAAGGAGAGAAAGAAAGAAAGAAAGAAAGAAAGAGAAAGAAAGAAAGAGAAAGAAAGAAAGAAAGAAAGAAAGAAAGAAAGAGAGAGAGAGAGAAAGAAAGGGAGGAAGAAAAAGUGAAACUGUGUAUCUAAAUGACAAAGAGCGAUUUCUUUACUUUGUGGGUUUCAUGGCUCAGGCAGAAGAGGAGUUAACGCGCCAUCAGUGCCAGGAAGCAACAGACCAAAAGUCACUCUGGCUAUUGCUUGGAACAAGUUCUGCGCAACCAGUUACCGUUUCUCAAGUGUUCUGAAAGUGAGCCAAGAGCAGUCUGCAGAAGCGGCGGCCGGCCGGCUAAGCAGCAGCGUGGACUGUUCUCAUCUCGGGCAGACGGCCGAGCAGCUUGUACAGUUAUCUCUUUAAUUGGCAUCUCCUUUGCUUUUAUUUAAAGCAGAGCCUUCUGGUGCGAAGUGCACUGAACUACCAGGGUGCUUGCCCCAGCAGACCACGGCAAAGUGACCUCGCUUCUGGAGGUGUCAGAAGAGUCCAUCCACGGAGGCAGAGGCAAUUAAGUCAGAGCCCUUUGACUAUCCUUCCCAAUCCAAGACUGCGCUCAAGAUGAAGCGUUGGCAAAUUGCGGUCCAGAGUGGGCCAAUCCUGUCACAAGUCGAGCAUGGCCUUUAUGUCUCUCAAUGGGGAAAAAAAAAAUCAAGAACAAAGUCGUACUUUGUGAUUCAUGGAAAUGAUCUGACUUCAGAUUUCAGUGUCUACAAAUAAAGUUUUAUUGGAAUACCA